rnacentral:tRNA from 1 species
GUGUCUGUAGUGUAGUGGUUAUCACGUUGGCUUUACACGCAAAAGGUUUCUAGUUCAAAACCAGACAGAAAUG